rnacentral:rRNA from 1 species
UACGUAGGGGGCAAGCGUUGUCCGGAAUCAUUGGGCGUAAAGCGCGUGUAGGCGGCUUGAUAAGUCUGCUCUGAAAGCCCGGGGCUCAACCCCGGGAGGCGGGUGGAUACUGUCAAGCUCGAGUCCGGAAGAGGAGAGUGGAAUUCCUGGUGUAGCGGUGAAAUGCGUAGAUAUCAGGAGGAACACCGGUGGUGUAGACGGCUUUCUGGACCGUAACUGACGCUGAGACACGAAAGCGUGGGUAGCAAACAGG